GUGCUCGCUUCGGCAGCACAUAUACUAAAAUUGGAACGAUACAGAGAAGAUUAGCAUGGCCCCUGCACUAGCUUUCCUUGUAACAAAUCUGGAAGUGGGACACUCUU